rnacentral:rRNA from 1 species
CGGCCCAGACUCCUACGGGAGGCAGCAGUAAGGAAUCUUCCACAAUGGACGAAAGUCUGAUGGAGCAACGCCGCGUGAACGAUGAAGGCUUUCGGGUCGUAAAGUUCUGUUGUAAGGGAAGAACAAGUGCCGCAGGCAAUGGCGGCACCUUGACGGUACCUUGCGAGAAAGCCACGGCUAACUACGUGCCAGCAGCCGCGGUAAUACGUAGGUGGCAAGCGUUGUCCGGAAUUAUUGGGCGNNNNNCGCGCGCAGGCGGCCUCUUAAGUCUGAUGUGAAAGCCCCCGGCUCAACCGGGGAGGGCCAUUGGAAACUGGGAGGCUUGAGUAUAGGAGAGAAGAGUGGAAUUCCACGUGUAGCGGUGAAAUGCGUAGAGAUGUGGAGGAACACCAGUGGCGAAGGCGACUCUUUGGCCUAUAACUGACGCUGAGGCGCGAAAGCGUGGGGAGCAAACAGGAUUAGAUACCCUGGUAGU